rnacentral:rRNA from 1 species
AGAACGAACGCUGGCGGCGUGGAUAAGACAUGCAAGUCGGACGCGAUUUAUCCGGUUAGCAAUAACUGGGUAGAUUGAGUGGCGAAAGGGUGCGUAACACGUGGGAAUUUACCAAGAAGUGGGGGAAUAGCUCGACGAAAGUCGAAUUAAUACCGCAUGUGAUCGUAAGAUCAAAGCCGGGGACCGCAAGGCCUGGCGCUUUUUGAGAAGCCCGCGGCCCAUCAGCUAGUUGGUGAGGUAAUGGCUCACCAAGGCUAUGACGGGUAGCUGGUCUGAGAGGACGACCAGCCACACUGGAACUGAGACACGGUCCAGACACCUACGGGUGGCAGCAGUCGAGAUUUUUCACA